rnacentral:rRNA from 1 species
AUGAACGCUAGCGACAGGCCUAACACAUGCAAGUCGAGGGGCAGCACAGAGGUAGCUUGCUACUUUGGGUGGCGACCGGCGCACGGGUGCGUAACAGGUGUGCAAUCUGUCCAUAAUCGGGGAAUAGCCCAGCGAAAGUUGGAUUAAUGCUCCAUGUGAGUAAGAGAGGCAUCUCUUUUAUUUGAAACGUAAGGAUUAUGGGUGAGCACGCUUCUGAUUAGCUAGAUGGCGGGGUAACGGCCCACCAUGGCUACGAUGUCUAGGGGUUCUGAGAGGAAGGUCCCCCACACUGGAACUGAGACACGGUCCAGACUCCUACGGGAGGCAGCAGUGAGGAAUAUUGGUCAAUGGUCUGACGACUGAACCAGCCAUGCCGCGUGAAGGUGACGGCCCUAUGGGUCUUAAACUUCUUUUGUAAGGGAGCAAUAAGGUCUACGUGUAGAUUGAUGAGAGUACCUUACGAAUAAGCAUCGGCUAACUCCGUG